GUGAACAAACCGGUGUGGCUAAGUUGCUGGCCUUUUCGGAGGCAUGUGCACGGCCUGCCAUUGUUUCAUCCUUCUCCACCUGUGCACUUCUGUGGGUCCACUCCAGCGCACUCUCUGUGUGCUGGACUCUGGUACCUACGUUUUCACUACCCACACAAUUGAAUGUUCAGAAUGUAUGUAUCAGGCAUUCUUGCCUAUAAAACCUUAUA
rnacentral:misc_RNA from 1 species